GACGAACGCUGGCGGCGUGCUUAACACAUGCGAGUCGAACGGUGAAGCGCCUUCCUUUUUGGUGGGUGUGGAUGAGUGGCGAACGGGUGAGUAACACGUGAGUAACCUGCCCCCUUCUUCUGGAUAACCGCAUGAAAGUGUGGCUAAUACGGGAUAUUCUGGGUCUGUCGCAUGAUGGGUCUGGGAAAGAUAUUGUUUCGGUGGGGGAUGGGCUCGCGGCCUAUCAGCUUGUUGGUGGGGUGAUGGCCUACCAAGGCGGUGACGGGUAGCCGGCCUGAGAGGGUGGACGGUCCCACUGGGACUGAGACACGGCCCAGACUCCUACGGGAGGCAGCAGUGGGGAAUAUUGCACAAUGGGCGCAAGCCUGAUGCAGCGACGCCGCGUGAGGGAUGGAGGCCUUCGGGUUGUGAACCUCUUUCGCCAGUGAAGCAGGCCUGCCUCGUUUGUGGGUGGGUUGACGGUAGCUGGAUAAGAAGCGCCGGCUAACUACGUG
rnacentral:rRNA from 1 species